AACGAACGCUGGCGGCAUGCCUAACACAUGCAAGUCGAACGAGAUCUUCGGGUCUAGUGGCGCACGGGUGCGUAACGCGUGGGAAUCUGCCCUUUGGUUCGGAAUAACAGUUGGAAACGACUGCUAAUACCGGAUGAUGACGAAAGUCUAAAGAUUUAUCGCCAGAGGAUGAGCCCGCGUAGGAUUAGCUAGUUGGUGUGGUAAAGGCGCACCAAGGCGACGAUCCUUAGCUGGUCUGAGAGGAUGAUCAGCCACACUGGGACUGAGACACGGCCCAGACUCCUACGGGAGGCAGCAGUGGGGAAUAUUGGACAAUGGGCGAAAGCCUGAUCCAGCAAUGCCGCGUGAGUGAUGAAGGCCUUAGGGUUGUAAAGCUCUUUUACCCGGGAUGAUAAUGACAGUACCGGGAGAAUAAGCUCCGGCUAACUCUGUGCCAGCAGCCGCCGCCG
rnacentral:rRNA from 1 species